CCAAUAGCGUAUAUUAAAGUUGUUGCAGUUAAAAAGCUCGUAGUUGAAUUUCGGAAUCAAUACGUCGGUCGUGCUUCGGUACGUACUAACGUCAUUGGUUUCUCCCUUCUGACGAACCAUGAUGUCAUUAAUUUGGUGUUAUGGGAAAUCAGGACUGUUACUUUGAAAAAAUUAGAGUGUUUAAAGCAGGCUCACGCUUGAAUACAUUAGCAUGGAAUAAAGAAAUAGGACGUUCGAACCUAUUUUGUUGGUUUCUAGGAUCAACGUAAUGAUUAAUAGGGAUAGUUGGGGGCAUUAGUAUUCAAUUGUCAGAGGUGAAAUUCUUGGAUUUAUUGAAGACUAACUACUGCGAAAGCAUCUGCCAAGGAUGUUUUCAUUAAUCAAGAACGAAAGUUAGGGGAUCGAAGACGAUCAGAUACCGUCGUAGUCUUAACCAUAAACUAUGCCGACUAGGGAUCGGAUGAUGUUAAUUUUUUAAUGACUCAUUCGGCGCCUUACG
rnacentral:rRNA from 1 species